rnacentral:rRNA from 1 species
AGUGAACGCUGGCGGUAGGCCUAACACAUGCAAGUCGAACGGCAGCACAGUAAGAGCUUGCUCUUACGGGUGGCGAGUGGCGGACGGGUGAGGAAUACAUCGGAAUCUACUUUUUCGUGGGGGAUAACGUAGGGAAACUUACGCUAAUACCGCAUACGACCUACGGGUGAAAGCAGGGGAUCUUCGGACCUUGCGCGAUUGAAUGAGCCGAUGUCGGAUUAGCUAGUUGGCGGGGUAAAGGCCCACCAAGGCGACGAUCCGUAGCUGGUCUGAGAGGAUGAUCAGCCACACUGGAACUGAGACACGGUCCAGACUCCUACGGGAGGCAGCAGUGGGGAAUAUUGGACAAAGGGCGCAAGCCUGAUCCAGCCAUACCGCGUGGGUGAAGAAGGCCUUCGGGUUGUAAAGCCCUUUUGUUGGGAAAGAAAAGCAGCAGGUUAAUACCCCGCUGUUCUGACGGUACCCAAAGAAUAAGCACCGGCUUACUUCGUG